rnacentral:rRNA from 2 species
GCGGAGGGAUCAUUACCGAGUUUA